ACCCUGGUAUUUCCAUAGUGUGACCCGUCAUGUGCUGCUUUUUCCGAUGUUUUUGCCCAUCGAUUGACACUAUCGAGUGCCGAUCGACCGCCUUGUGAUCGAGGCGCCCCCUUCCCUAAGCACAUGGUGACUCCGCAAAUGCUGACAACAGAAGGAAAUUUUGGCUUAGUACUCUCUUCGGACCCCCUCUCCCUUCGAUGGACCUAGAUGUCGCGGAUGGCUGCUUUCUCUUCGGGAUUUCACCUUCGGCAUACACAUGGCAUCGACAUGGAUCCCUUUUUCCUGGAGGUGGACCAGCACUUGUGGAUGGACUCCUUUUCAGGCCGCCCUUCGACCCACAC